rnacentral:tRNA from 1 species
GAAGGCAUGCUUGGGUGGUAAAGUACUUGCCUGGUAAACAGGAGGCCCUGAGUUCAAGCCCCAGCGCUCUCA